CAGAACUUGUACACAGUGGCUUGACAUUGAGAUCGGCAUCAAGCAAAAACAAUUUUUCGUCGCAAAAAUAAAAGGAACAACUAAAUUGGCUGUUUCUAGGGCAAUACGUGGAUGAAACUAGGUGUACGUUUCUAAAUGCAAGGGUAGUAUUUCAGUUGGAACCGAUUUAAAUACAGAGGAAUAAAGUAUUAUUGCCUACUGAUAAAAAAUAACCAG